rnacentral:rRNA from 1 species
UCUUGCCUGCCCAGUGACUAUAUGUUCAACGGUGGUGGUAUUCUCACCGUGCAAAGGUAGCGCAAUCACUUGUUCCCUAAAUAGGGACUUGUAUGAAUAGCCACACAAGGGUUGAGCUGUCUCUUACUUUUAAUCAGUGAAAUUGACCUAUCCAUGAAGAGGCGGAUAUAAACAUAUAAGAUGAGAAGAUCCUAUGGAGCUUAAUUCAUUAAUGCAAAUAUGUCAAAACUCAUACAAGCUACACCUAGCCUCCUAGCCCUGCAUUAAAUUUUUGGUUGGGGUGAACUUGGAGCAUAAUUCAACCUCCAUGGGAAACAACCUAAAACUAAGAAAACCUCACUAGGGCACAGAACAUCUGUACACAAUGAUUCAACCACCACCUGAUCAAUAGAAUAAGUUACCCUAGGGAUAACAACACAAUCCUAUUCUAGAGUCCAUAUCGACAAUAAGGUUUACAACCUCAAUGUUGGAUCAGGACGUCCUAAUGGUGUAGCCG